GGAUUUCCUACCAGAAGACCUUCCCAACUAGUUCUGCCUUAAAUUCUCUACCUUGAAGUCUCCUGGUGUGCUUUUUUUCCUCAGGAAGGUAACAGAAGCUGUAUCAAACGCAAACUGAGCGGCGUGGAUUUGCUGGUUAGGCACAGAUGGGGUUCCUCUCUCAAAGUACUUGUGUUGUCUCCGUUCAUUACACUUGCUACAAAAGCUAUUGACACGGCAGCAUUCUCCUGUUAGUUUUUCUACUCCUUUAGAAGUAAGCGCUUGUCAGGUUGCCAUGACCUGAUAGCGCAGUGACUAGGAUCUUGGUUAGAGAUUUGGACCUUCACAGUCACUGGAGGGGAGUCUUCAAAGUCUCAUGCAGUUGUCAUGGUCAAUUCAUGGUGACUUGUGUCUGCAGGUUAAGACAUUCUUCUGAAUUGUUUUUGAUUUUAUGCAUUUUUAUUAUGGUAUUAUGUAGAGUGAGAAAAACAUAAAUCUUUUUGUUUGAACGCUGGUUUGAUGUCCAGUUCAAAUUAGCAGGAUGCAAGGAGGUUGGAUUCUUGUUUGGAAGCCGUUUAUGAAAUGUUAGAUUUCCUUCUAUGGAAGGAAAUUCUGGAGAAGACUUCCAAUCUUGUGAUUCAAAGCAUGAAUCAGCCCCUAGGUUGGAGCUGUGCCUGCAGCAGCAGAAGGGGCUGACUGUCACAGGGUUGCUGCUUUGUUGCUCUUCUCCAGAGCACCCUGUAUAGCUGCUAUCAAAGGCAGAACAGCAGCAUCAAUGGAAUCAGGUCUGCUCAAUGCAAGCUCUGAUUUUCAGCAGCAUGUCAUCUUUAAUAUAUCUAUUUUUCUUUUCUCUUUCUCUAGAAGUUUUGUGUUCCAGCUGACUUCCUCCAAGAGAGCUGCCAGCAUGCUUUUUCAUCAGAACUAUGUGAAACACCUGAGUUCAUCGGGACUGAAGGAAAACAGUCUCAGAGACAAAGGACCUAGGAAUCUUUUCCUGCAAUUAACAUGAAUUCAUGAGGUGUGUGUUUUAAGAGCUACAUCUAGUCCUGUGAAAGCAGAGGUAUGAACCAGCAGUUGCAAUGCUAAUUACUGCCCAGUGAUUUGAGGGGACCUGCACAAUGUGCUAACAUGCCUAUGAUGACAUGCAGCAUGAUACAUGGGGAAAGGUGAAGGCAAGGCUCAUAUAUCCCCAUAACGCUGAAAGCAUAUUUCCCUCUCUAAUAACUUACAAACAGUCACCAUUUGCUGUCUGCAAAAUUAACCUCUCAUCUCCUCCAGCCUGCUGAUCUGGUGCAUAGAUAUAGGAUUUUAAGCUUCUCUAUUGAAAAAUGUCCCUGCAAAGCUGUCCAUCAGAACUCCCACUGCUUUCCAGAGAGUGUUAUUAAUAAGUUCUUCCUAUCAGAAAUGGGACCCUUUUAGAGCUCAGACAAGGUUUUUUUCCUGUUAACCAGCUGGGCUGCUUGGCUGUGGACAAAUGCCAUGAUGAAUGACGGGUCAAGGAUGGAGCAGGCUGAUUUCUCUCCAAGCCUGACCUUGUCUCUGGUGUGACAUCUGAAAUGACAGGUGCAUUAAAAAGUUAUUUAUGUAGGGGAGCUGCGAUGCAUUGUACCCUUUGCAAGGUAGCACCCAGUUUUGCAAGAGUGUUAGAAAAAAGGCUGCCCCUGUGUCUGCUGCCUCUUGCACUGCCAGCUUUCUGUAAGCAGCUGCUAUGAAAGCAGGAGGAGAAGUGUUGCACAUUUUUUAGCGCACAGAAGAUGCUCUGGGAAAUGAAAGGCAAAAUAGGGAGCAGGGUCCGAGAGCAGCAGCAGACGGCUUCCCAGCAAAUCACCUGUGUGUGUGCAGAUUGCCUGCCUGGAACAGCAGUAACCAGCUCUGGAAAUGCACCUGAAGGGUUCUGGGCUGUUGAAGGCCCAAUGUUGUGGAUAAAAUGCAGCACUGAAGAUUAAAUGACUUCUGCUGUUCAGCUCCUUAUGGCCUCAGUGCUCUUGUGAGACUUUCUCUUUUGACUC
rnacentral:lncRNA from 1 species